rnacentral:ncRNA from 1 species
GGGUGACCGACCGUCUGAAAGAAGCCGGAGUGCAAACCUGCGAGCUGACGAACAGAAACCGCAUAUAAGGCCGAACUCCUGGGUGAGUGAGCACAACAUCACGAAACCCGCCUGGAGAACAUGGGGGAUGGUAAAUGCGGCAGUUGUGCAGGGAAAGAUCAU